CAGCAGCCACGGUAAUACGUAGGGUGCAAGCGUUAAUCGGAAUUACUGGGCGUAAAGCGUGCGCAGGCGGUUAUAUAAGUCAGAUGUGAAAUCCCCGGGCUCAACCUGGGAACUGCAUUUGAGACUGUAUGGCUAGAGUGUGUCAGAGGGGGGUAGAAUUCCACGUGUAGCAGUGAAAUGCGUAGAUAUGUGGAGGAAUACCGCUGGCGAAGGCAGCCCCCUGGGAUAACACUGACGCUCAUGCACGAAAGCGUGGGGAGCAAACAGGAUUAGAUACCCGUGUAGUCCCUGUCUCUUAUAC
rnacentral:rRNA from 1 species